AGACGAGUUGCAUUUUGCUAGAUAGGGGAAGGAGGGCUGUCUGCUGUCUGGUAGGAGGGCUUUGUCUGCCUUUCUCUCUCUCUCUCUCCUCUCUCUCUCUCUCUCUCUCUCUCUCUCUCUCUCUCUCUCUCUCUCUCUCUCUCUCUGUUUUCUGUUUUUCUCUCUGUCUGUCUCUCCUCUCACUCGCUUGCUCUGUCUCUGUCUCUCUCUCUCCCUCUUCCCCCUCCCUCUCUUGCUUUCUCUCCCUUCCCGUCUCUGUGGUUUGUAAGGUAGGUUGCAGUGUGUGUAUAUACACAACAUCAAGAGCAGGAAAAUGGACUCAUUAGGGAGGCAGGCAGUCAUUACCACUCACACUGUACUUCCAGGGAGACACCGAUUAUGAGAAGAGAAACUCAGUGCUGGGGAACAAGAUAUAUAGGAGGAAAAACAGUUCCCUGCCCAGGGGAACUGUUCUGUCAAAGACAGAACACCCGACUCAGAAGGAUUUACAAAGGAGAACAGAACCUUGUCUGGGAGCAAAUUACUGGCAAGAUUGUGUGGGAAGCACAGGCCCCGACCUUUGCCUGAUGGAGGUGAGCAAAGCUUUCCCCAUAGGGUUAUGGGACAACUGGCCAAGUCAUAUUGAGGAUUCAUUUUCCUUAUCCAAAUCUUGAUUAAGAUCUAAUCAGUUAAAAAUGAACAUCAAGUUCUCUGAUCUCAGAUAAAUUUGCAAGACACGGUUGUUUAAAUUUGGUAGUAUAACUUUAGAGUUGCCCUGCUAAGCUUUAAAAGACAAUAGCAACAAACUUUUUCCAGCAACAAAUGACAGCCUGAGAAUGGGAGCAGGAAAAAAGUCAGUGGUGGAAGUUACUUAGAUUUGGGGAUUGGCCUGGUAGAUAUAACAUAAGCCAGGUAUUAUGGAUUCUUAGGUAUUCAAACUAAUUUUUACUACGGCUGGCCAUCUGAUCUGUAUUUCAGAGAUGUUGGUAAGUUAAGAAGGGGGCUGAUGAACUUAAAAAAAUAGGGAGAAGGGGGUCAAAGGAAUAGUGGUUAUAGGAUUUAGAGUUGGAAGGGUUUUUAGAAAACAUCAUGAACCUCUACUUCCUCAUCUAGGGGAGAAGGGAAAACUUUUUAAAAUUAAUUUUUUAGUGAAC
rnacentral:lncRNA from 1 species